rnacentral:rRNA from 1 species
CCUACGGGAGGCUGCAGUGAGGAAUAUUGGUCAAUGGACGAGAGUCUGAACCAGCCAAGUAGCGUGAAGGAUGACUGCCCUAUGGGUUGUAAACUUCUUUUAUAUGGGAAUAAAAUGUUCCACGUGUGGGAUUUUGUAUGUACCAUAUGAAUAAGGAUCGGCUAACUCCGUGCCAGCAGCCGCGGUAAUACGGAGGAUCCGAGCGUUAUCCGGAUUUAUUGGGUUUAAAGGGAGCGUAGGUGGUUUGAUAAGUUAGGUGUGAAAGUUUGCGGCUCAACCGUAAAAUUGCAGUUGAGACUGGCAGGCUUGAGUACAGUGGAGGUGGGCGGAAUUCGUGGUGUAGCGGUGAAAUGCUUAGAUAUCACGAAGAACUCCGAUUGCGAAGGCAGUUCACUGGUCUGCAACUGACACUGAGGCUCGAAAGUGUGGGUAUCAAACAGGAUUAGAUACCCGGGUAGUC